rnacentral:rRNA from 1 species
GUAACACAUGAUCAACUUACCCUAUUGAGAAAGAUAACCUCGGGAAACUGAGGAUAAUAUUUCAUAGUUGAAUUGGCUUGGAAAAGUUUUUCAACAAAAGGGAUAGGGAAAAUGGUCUCUAUCCGCUAUAGGAUAGGAUCGUGUUCGAUUAUGGUAGUUGGUGAGGUAAAGGCUCACCAAGCCGAUAAUCGAUAGGGGCCGUGAGAGCGGGAGCCCCGAGAUGGGUACUGAGACAACGACCCAGGCCUUACGAGGCGCAGCAGGUACGAAACCUCCACAAUACACGAAAGUGUGAUGGGGUUACCCAAAGUGUUCAUUAUUGAACUGUGGUAGGAGAGUAAUGUCCCCUACUAGAAAGGAGAGGGCAAGGCUGGUGCCAGCCGCCGCGGUAAAACCAGCUCUUCAAGUGGUCGGGAUAAUUAUUGGGCUUAAAGUGUCCGUAGCCGGUUUAGUAAGUUCCUGGUAAAGUCGGGUAGCUUAACUAUCUGUAUGCUAGGAAUACUACUAUACUAGAGGGCG